rnacentral:lncRNA from 1 species
GUGUCCCACACGCCCCCACACUUGGGACAUCCCAAGUUCUCCACGCCAAGGGUGUUUGACAGCCCAAUAGCUGCAGGUUCCUAGUAUCUAGCAAUAGCACAAAGCAAGGAGAAAGGUUAGAGAAGAGAAAGAAAAGAAGAUUAAGAAAAGAGAUCAAGUGUUGAUCGCGAUCCAGGCUUCAUUUAGAUUCAGUGGGCUGAAUUUAUUUAGAGAAAAAAAUUUAAGUUCUUGAGGACUGUUCCAUACUGAUCCCGAGUGGAUACCCAUAG